UACGUAUGGUGCAAGCGUUAUCCGGAUUUACUGGGUGUAAAGGGAGCGCAGGCGGCACGGCAAGCCUGAUGUGAAAGCCCGCGGCCCAACCGCGGGACUGCAUUGGGAACUACCGGGCUGGAGUGCCGGAGAGGUAGGCGGAAUUCCUAGUGUAGCGGUGAAAUGCGUAGAUAUUAGGAGGAACACCAGUGGCGAAGGCGGCUUUCUGGACUGUAACUGACACUGAGGUACGAAAGCGUGGGGAGCAAACAGG
rnacentral:rRNA from 1 species